rnacentral:rRNA from 1 species
UCGCCUUUAGAUGGGCCCGCGUUGGAUUAGCUAGUUGGUGGGGUAAAGGCCUACCAAGGCGACGAUCCAUAGCUGGUCUGAGAGGAUGAUCAGCCACACUGGGACUGAGACACGGCCCAG